rnacentral:rRNA from 1 species
GGCAUUUUGAUAAUAAUUUAAGGUCGGGCCUGCUCAAUGAAAAAUUUUAAAUGGCCGCGGUAUUUUAACCGUGCAAAGGUAGCAUAAUCAUUAGUUUUUUAAUUGGAAGCUGGAAUGAAGGGUUUAAUGAAAAAAUUACUGUCUCUAUCUAAAUUCAUUAGAAAUUUAUUUUUAAGUAAAAAAGCUUAAAUAAAUAUUAAAGACGAGAAGACCCUAUAGAGUUUUAUACCUGGGGAAUUUAUUGUAUUUAGAAUUUUUAAAUUAUUUUUAAAAGGUAUUUAGUUGGGGUGAUUGAAAAAUUAAAGUAACUUUUUUUUAAAUAAAACAUUAAUUUAUGAUUAAUUGAUCCUUUUUUUAGAUUAAAAGAUAAAAUUACCUUAGGGAUAACAGCGUAAUUUUUUUAAAAGUUCUUAUUGAAAAAAAAGAUUGCGACCUCGAUGUUGGAUUAAAAUUAAAUUGCUGGCGCAAAAGCUGGAGUUAUUAGGUCUGUUCGACCUUUAAAAUUUUACAUGAUCUGAGUUUAGACCGGUAUGAG